UGCUGUUAAUUCUGAUUGUUAUAAUAAAUUUUGGUACACGUCUUAGAAAGUUGAAGAUUUUUAUAUUUUGUUAAGCAUGGUGUUCUUAUUGCAGGUUUAUAUGUCCUCAGCUUGUGAUAGACAAGUUGGUCGACCCAAAAAGGAAAAUUAUGGAACUCCACAACAUCCGUCGAAAAUACGCUUUGCUGCAAUUGAAUCAAAUGACGCCUACAAUCAGAGGUUCCAACCGCCUUCUCGAAUGGUAUAGAAAUUUCAAGACCUGAAAAAGGUCAUAUAGUAGGGAAUGCCAAAAUUGCAGGGUACAUAUUGGAUUCUUUCAUUCUUAUAGCCCACUGAAAAACCAAAUGCUUAGUGACUUAUACGCUUUGUAUCUAAAACAUCCCAAGAAAGCUUUAGUCACAGGUCAUUCACUUGGAGGAGCAAUGGCAAAUUUGGCAGCUGUUGAUUUGGUCAAUGCUGGAUAUCCUGUCGAUUUAAUAACCUUUGGCGUACCUCGGGUUAGAAACAAAGAAUUUGCACAAUAUGCCGACAGAAUUGUGAUAGGAUUAAAUCUUAGAGUGACGUACAAGAAAGACCCUGUUGUGAUGAUUCCUAAAAGACAAUAUCGGCAUGCUGGGAAUGAAAUCCAUUUCAUUGGUGAAAAUAAGUGCCAUGAAUAGCCUGAAAAGGCAGAUGUGUGUCAUGCACGAAUAAGGUUUUCGAUCGUCUUAUGAAAAAUUAUCUUAAAAUAUAAAAAAAAUCAGGUAAAGAUUAAUGUCGAAAGAUUAUGACAGACCCUUGAGUUUGUUUCUUUCAAUGUUUUAUCUUUUACUGUAAAACAAUUUUUUAGUAUGAUGUAGGUUAACUUUGAUAAAUAUUUAAAUGAGUAGCUUCAAUGAUUGAUCAUUGUUGUUAAUAAAGAAUUUAAAGACUUUCCACAAAA